UACGUAGGGGGCAAGCGUUGUCCGGAAUUAUUGGGCGUAAAGAGCGUGUAGGCGGUCCGGUAAGUCGGCUGUGAAAGUCCAGGGCUCAACCCUGGGAUGCCGGUCGAUACUGCCGGACUAGAGUUCGGAAGAGGCGAGUGGAAUUCCCGGUGUAGCGGUGAAAUGCGCAGAUAUCGGGAAGAACACCCGUGGCGAAGGCGGUUCUCUGGGACGGUACUGACGCUGAGACGCGAAAGCGUGGGUAGCAAACAGG
rnacentral:rRNA from 1 species